rnacentral:tRNA from 1 species
AAUAAGAUGCCUGACUGAAAAGGAUUAUUUUGAUAGAAUAAAAAAUGUAGUUAAACUACUCUUAUUA